rnacentral:rRNA from 1 species
CGCAGCCGCGGUAAUUCCAGCUCCAAUAGCGUAUAUUAAAGUUGUUGCAGUUAAAAAGCUCGUAGUUGAAUUUCGGGAUUAGUACGCUGGUCAUGCCUUUGGUAUGUACUGGUGUUACUGGUUCCUACCUUCUGAAGAACCGUCAUGUCAUUAAUUUGGUGUGGCGGGGAAUCAGGACUGUUACUUUGAAAAAAUUAGAGUGUUUAAAGCAGGCUCGCGCUUGAAUACAUUAGCAUGGAAUAAUGAAAUAGGACGUUUGACCCUAUUUUGUUGGUUUCUAGGAUCGACGUAAUGAUUAAUAGGGAUAGUUGGGGGCAUUAGUAUUCAAUUGUCAGAGGUGAAAUUCUUGGAUUUAUUGAAGACUAACUACUGCGAAAGCAUUUGCCAAGGAUGUUUUCAUUAAUCAAGAACGAAAGUUAGGGGAUCGAAGACGAUCAGAUACCGUCGUAGUCUUAACCAUAAACUAUGCCGACUAGGGAUCGGAUGAUGUUAUUUUUAAUGACUCAUUCGGCGCCUUACG